GUGUGCUUCUCACAGUCAGUCAAGAUUCCACGAGAGCCAAAACAGGGAGAGUUCGACAAGAUCAUCCGGAGACUGGGAGAAAAUCCAAACGCAAGAGUUGUCAUCCUUUUCGCAAAUGAAGAUGAUAUCAGGCGGUUACUCGAUGCAGCAAAAAAGGCCAACCAGACCGGUCAUUUCAUCUGGGUGGGAUCGGACAGCUGGGGCUCAAAGAUUGCUCCUGUUGUGCAGCAGGAGGAGGUGGCAGAGGGAGCAGUCACCAUCUUGCCCAAGCGGCAGACCAUUAAAGGGUUUGAUCGUUACUUCAUCAGUCGAACGCUGGAAAACAACAGAAGGAAUAUCUGGUUUGCGGAGUUCUGGGAGAACAACUUCAACUGCAAACUCAGCCGACAUGCUGUGAAGAAAGGCUCCGGGCUCAAAAAGU